UACGGGGGGGGCAAGCGUUGUUCGGAAUUACUGGGCGUAAAGGGCUCGUAGGUGGCCAACUAAGUCAGACGUGAAAUCCCUCGGCUUAACCGGGGAACUGCAUCUGAUACUGGAUGGCUUGAGUUUGGGAGAGGGAUGCGGAAUUCCAGGUGUAGCGGUGAAAUGCGUAGAUAUCUGGAGGAACACCGGUGGCGAAGGCGGCAUCCUGGACCAACACUGACACUGAGGCGCGAAAGCUAGGGGAGCAAACGGGG
rnacentral:rRNA from 1 species